AUUGAACGCUGGCGGCAGGCCUAACACAUGCACGUCGAGCGAGCGGCGGACGGGUGAGUAAUGUCUGGGAAACUGCUUGCUGGAGGGGGAUAACUACUGGCAACGGUAGCUAAUACCGCAUACCAUCAGAUGUGCCCAGAGUGGAGUAGCUAGUAGGUGGGGUAAUGGCUCACCUAGGCGACGAUCCCUAGCUGGUCUGAGAGGAUGACCAGCCACACUGUAACUGAGACACGGUCCAGACUCCUACGGGAGGCAGCAGUGGGGAAUUUUGCACAAUGGGCGAAAGCCUGAUGCAGCCAUGCCGCGUGUGUGAAGAAGGCCGUCGGGUAGUAAAGCACUUUCGGCGGGAAGGCGUUACCCGCAGAAGAAGCACCGGCUAACUCCGUGCCAGCAGCCGCGGUAAUAC
rnacentral:rRNA from 1 species